CGUAGGGUGCGAGCGUUAAUCGGAAUUACUGGGCGUAAAGCGUGCGCAGGCGGUUUUGUAAGUCAGAUGUGAAAUCCCCGAGCUCAACUUGGGAACUGCGUUUGAAACUACAAGACUAGAAUAUGUCAGAGGGGGGUAGAAUUCCACGUGUAGCAGUGAAAUGCGUAGAGAUGUGGAGGAAUACCAAUGGCGAAGGCAGCCCCCUGGGAUAAUAUUGACGCUCAUGCACGAAAGCGUGGGGAGCAAACAGGAUUAGAUACCCUGGUAGUCCACGCCCUAAACGAUGUCUACUAGUUGUUGGUGGAGUAAAAUCCAUGAGUAACGCAGCUAACGCGUGAAGUAGACCGCCUGGGGAGUACGGCCGCAAGGUUG
rnacentral:rRNA from 1 species